rnacentral:rRNA from 1 species
UGGGGAAUAUUGCACAAUGGGCGCAAGCCUGAUGCAGCCAUGCCGCGUGUGUGAAGAAGGCCUUCGGGUUGUAAAGCACUUUCAGCGAGGAGGAAGGUGGUGGACUUAAUACGUUCAUCAAUUGACGUUACUCGCAGAAGAAGCACCGGCUAACUCCGUGCCAGCAGCCGCGGUAAUACGGAGGGUGCAAGCGUUAAUCGGAAUUACUGGGCGUAAAGCGCACGCAGGCGGUUUGUUAAGUCAGAUGUGAAAUCCCCGGGCUCAACCUGGGAACUGCAUUUGAAACUGGCAAGCUAGAGUCUCGUAGAGGGGGGUAGAAUUCCAGGUGUAGCGGUGAAAUGCGUAGAGAUCUGGAGGAAUACCGGUGGCGGAGGCGGCCCCCCUGGACGAAGACUGACGCUCAGGUGCGAAAGCGUGGGGCAGCAAACAGGAUUAGAUACCCUGGUAGUCCACGCUGUAAACGAUGUCGAUUUGGAGGUUGUGCCCUUGAGGCGUGG